rnacentral:rRNA from 1 species
AGAGUUUGAUCAUGGCUCAGGAUGAACGCUAGCGGGAGGCCUAACACAUGCAAGCCGAGCGGUAUGGAUAGCUUGCUAUCCAGAGAGCGGCGUACGGGUGCGUAACACGUGUGCAACCUGCCUUUAUCUGGGGGAUAGCCUUUCGAAAGGAAGAUUAAUACCCCAUAAUAUGGUGUCCGGCAUCGGUCGCCAUUGAAAGCCUCGGCGGAUAGAGAUGGGCACGCGCAAGAUUAGAUAGUUGGCGGGGUAACGGCCCACCAAGUCGAUGAUCUUUAGGGGUCCUGAGAGGGAGAUCCCCCACACUGGUACUGAGACACGGACCAGACUCCUACGGGAGGCAGCAGUGAGGAAUAUUGGACAAUGGGUGGAAGCCUGAUCCAGCCAUCCCGCGUGAAGGAUGACGGUCCUAUGGAUUGUAAACUUCUUUUGUACAGGGAUAAACCUGCCCUCGUGAGGGCAGCUGAAGGUACUGUACGAAUAAGCACCGGCUAACUCCGUGCCAGCAGCCGCGGUAAUACGGAGGGUGCGAGCGUUAUCCGGAUUUAUUGGGUUUAAAGGGUCCGUAGGCGGGCCUGUAAGUCAGUGGUGAAAUCUCAUAGCUUAACUAUGAAACUGCCAUUGAUACUGCAGGCCUUGAGUAAAUUUGAAGUGGCUGGAAUAAGUAGUGUAGCGGUGAAAUGCAUAGAUAUUACUUAGAACACCGAUUGCGAAGGCAGGUCACUAAGAUUUAACUGACGCUGAUGGACGAAAGCGUGGGGAGCGAACAGGAUUAGAUACCCUGGUAGUCCACGCCGUAAACGAUGCUAACUCGUUUUUGGAUCUUCGGGUUCAGAGACCAAGCGAAAGUGAUAAGUUAGCCACCUGGGGAGUACGUCCGCAAGGAUGAAACUCAAGGAAUUGACGG